rnacentral:rRNA from 1 species
AACGUAGGACACAAGCGUUAUCCGGAGUUACUGGGCGUAAAGGGCGUGUAGGCGGACGUGUAAGUCUAUUCUGAAAGCUCCUGGCUAAACUGGGAGAGGCGAAUGGAGACUGCAUAUCUAGAGUGAGGAAGAGGGAAGUGGAAUUCCGGGUGUAGCGGUGGAAUGCGUAGAGAUCCGGAAGAACACCAGGUGGCGAAGGCGGCCCGCUGGGCAGGUGGCUGAC